rnacentral:lncRNA from 9 species
CAAACAGUCUUUGUGGGAAGCCCUUUUGUGCCUAAGAAGAUACCCCAGUUCAGGCAAAUGAAGAAAACAAUGGUCCUGAGACUGCCAUACUGAAGAGCUCAAUGUAGCCAUUCUGGUCAACAGUCCAGCUGAGUUCCAGACAAUAGUCUGCUUUGACUGCCAGCCCUGUGAGUGCACUGUCUUGGACAGCCAGUCCCCUGGAGCCCUCAGAUGACUACGGCAGUAACCAACAUCUGACUGCAAUCUCGUGAGAAACCCUCGGCCAGAACUGCCCAGCUAAGAGUUUACAAAUUCCUGAUACACCAAACUGUGAGCAAAAUAAAGCAAUCAUUUGAAGCUGCUAAAUGUGGGGAGAGCUGGUUAUGCAGCAAUAGUAACCUGAGCACCAUAGGAGAGAGAACAAUCACUGAGUUUCCAAGACACAUGGUGCCUGGUGCCGCCCCUCCCAUCGUGGACACAAGGAUUUGAUGGCUGAAACCUGGAGGGAGCGACCCCAGUGUGGGAAGGAAGCCCCUGGGUCCCACAGAAGGUUAGCUUAGGGUCACCAGUCACAUAAUCUGUCUGUAAAAUUUCAUUCACUAUUUAUGCCACAGUUAAAUUUUGUGAGCUCUCCAAAAUGGUAGAUUAAAUUUUUGUCAAGUCCAAUAUUUAAAAGAUGGUAUUCGGAGUUCCCGUCGUGGCGCAGUGGUUAACGAAUCCGACUAGGAACCAUGAGGUUGCGGGUUCGAUCCCUGCCCUUGCUCAGUGGGUUGACGAUCCGGCGUUGCCGUGAGCUGUGGUGUAGGUUGCAGACGCGGCUCGGAUCCCGCGUUGCUGUGGCUCUGGCGUAGGCCAGUGGCUACAGCUCCGAUUGGACCCCUAGCCUGGGAACCUCCAUAUGCUGUGGGAGCGGCCCAAGAAAUAGCAAAAAGACAUAAAAAAUAAAUAAAUAAAAGUUGGUAUUCAUUCUCUGAUUUUAGGUCCAGAAGGUGGAUAAACCUCUAAGAUAAUAGCAUGAAAUUUGCCAUAAUGAUAUCAUCAGCAGGUCAGAUGGGACACAAGCGUCUGUGGAUUUACUUUCAACUCCACUGCCACAUAUUAGUGGAGACUCCAGGAGUGGAUGAAUUUUUUGCAGAUGAGGCUCCUUCUCCUUGUCUCAACUUCUCUUCCAACUAAAGACUCCCAUAAAACACGCUAUCUGCAGAAUUCUCAGGAGGGAAGAGAAGGAGUUGAGCCAUAACCUCCUAACCUCUGCGGCACACCCUCGGCCAGCAACCUCAUUCUCCUUCUGGCAUUUGGAGGGCUCUGUGGAUCCCUUGCCCUCAGAAAUGCUAUCAACAUAAUGAAAGUUGAGAUGAAAAUUAAUCAUUUGCUGAGCUUCCUCCUGCAUCUGUUUUAAAACCUUCUGAGGGUGAGAGGAAUCUGUAGAACUUUGGAAGGCUGUGCUGGGAUUCCCACUGACUGUACUGGGACAUCUGAGGUGAUCCAUUCGAAGCAGUUAUUAGGAAGAAAUGAGAUGACACUGUUUCUCAGCAUUUGAGAUCAAGAACCUCAGAUUGGAACAGGUAUUGUCCCUGAUUUCUCAUAGUUGUCUGCUCAACCCACUGUCUUCCUACUUACUGCUUUAUGUUUAUAUUUUCUUGUUGGUCCCUUGCCCUGACUUCUUACAUGUCUUUG